rnacentral:misc_RNA from 1 species
GAUGAAGAACGUAGUGAAAUGCGAUAAGUAAUGUGAAUUGCAGAAUUCAGUGAAUCAUCGAAUCUUUGAACGCACAUUGCGCCCCCUGGUAUUCCGGGGGGCAUGCCUGUUCGAGCGUCAUUUCACCACUCAAGCCUCGCUUGGUAUUGGGCGACGCGGUCCGCCGCGCGCCUCAAAUCGACCGGCUGGGUCUUCCGUCCCCUCAGCGUUGUGGAAACUAUUCGCUAAAGGGUGCCGCGGGAGGUCACGCCGCAAAACAACCCCAUUUCUAAGGUUGACCUCGGAUCAGGUAGGGAUACCCGCUGAACUUAAGCAUAUCAAUAAGCGGAGGA